CAGGGAUGCCCUAGUAACGGCGAGUGAAGCGGCAAGAGCUCAAAUUUGAAAUCUGGCUCCUUUGGAGUCCGAGUUGUAAUUUGUAGAGGGUGCUUUGGUGUCGGCUAUGGCCUAAGUUCCUUGGAACAGGACGUCACAGAGGGUGAGAACCCCGUAUGUGGCUGCUAGCCUUCACCAUGUAAAGCCCCUUCGACGAGUCGAGUUGUUUGGGAAUGCAGCUCUAAAUGGGAGGUAAAUUUCUUCUAAAGCUAAAUAUUGGCCAGAGACCGAUAGCGCACAAGUAGAGUGAUCGAAAGAUGAAAAGCACUUUGGAAAGAGAGUCAAAAAGCACGUGAAAUUGUUGAAAGGGAAGCGCUUGCAGCCAGACUUGCUCGUAGUUGCUCAUCCGAGCUUUUGCUCGGUGCACUCUUCUGCGAGCAGGCCAGCAUCAGUCCGGGCGGUUGGAUAAAGGCUCUGGGAAUGUAGCUCUCUUCGGGGAGUGUUAUAGCCCAGGGUGUCAUGCAACCAGUCUGGACUGAGGUCCGCGCAUCUGCUAGGAUGCUGGCGUAAUGGCUGUAAGCGGCCCGUCUUGAAACACGGACCAAGGAGUCUAACAUCUAUGCGAGUGUUUGGGUGUCAAGCCCGGGCGCGCAAUGAAAGUGAACGGAGGUGGGAACCCUUCGGGGCGCACCAUCGACCGAUCCUGAUGUCUUCGGAUGGAUUUGAGUAAGAGCAUAGCUGUUGGGACCCGAAAGAUGGUGAACUAUGCCUGAAUAGGGUGAAGCCAGAGGAAACUCUGGUGGAGGCUCGCAGCGGUUCUGACGUGCAAAUCGAUCGUCAAAUUUGGGCAUAGGGGCGAAAGACUAAUCGAACUAUAUCAAUAACUGGGUCU
rnacentral:rRNA from 1 species